rnacentral:rRNA from 1 species
AGUGGGGGAUAACGUAGCGAAAGUUACGCUAAUACCGCAUAUUCUGUGAGCAGGAAAGCAGGGGAUCGCAAGACCUUGCGCUUUCGGAGCGGCCGAUGUCGGAUUAGCUAGUUGGUGGGGUAAAGGCCUACCAAGGCGACGAUCCGUAGCGGGUCUGAGAGGAUGAUCCGCCACACUGGGACUGAGACACGGCCCAGACUCCUACGGGAGGCAGCAGUGGGGAAUUUUGGACAAUGGGCGCAAGCCUGAUCCAGCCAUGCCGCGUGAGUGAAGAAGGCCUUCGGGUUGUAAAGCUCUUUCGGCCGGGACGAAAUCGGUGGGGCUAAUAUCCCUACUGGAUGACGGUACCGGAAUAAGAAGCACCGGCUAACUACGUGCCAGCAGCCGCGGUAAUACGUAGGGUGCGAGCGUUAAUCGGAAUUACUGGGCGUAAAGCGUGCGCAGGCGGUUAUGAAAGACAGGCGUGAAAUCCCCGGGCUUAACCUGGGAACGGCGCUUGUGACUCCAUGACUCGAGUACGGCAGAGGGGGGUGGAAUUCCA